CCUACGGGUGGCUGCAGUGAGGAAUAUUGGUCAAUGGACUUACGCCUGAACCAGCCAAGUCGCGUGAAGGAAGACUGCCCUAUGGGUUGUAAACCUCUUUUGUCAGGGAGCAAAUUGCGCUACGUGUAGCCUUAUCGAGAGUACCUGAAGAAAAGGCAUCGGCUAACUCGGUGCAAGCGGCCGCGGUAAUACGGAGGAUGCGAGGUUUAUCCGGAUUUUUUGGGUUUAAGGGGUGCGUAGGCGGAAUGCCAAGUCAGCGGUAAAAUCGCGGGGCUAAACCUAGCUUCGCCGUUGAAACUGGCGUUCUUGAGUGGGCGAGAAGUAGGCGGAAUGCGUGGUGUAGCGGUGAAAUGCAUAGAUAUCACGAAGAACUCCGAUUGCGAAGGCAGCAUACCGGCGCCCAACUGACGCUGAAGCACGAAAGUGUGGGUAUCGAACAGGAUUAGAUACCCGGGUAGUC
rnacentral:rRNA from 1 species